rnacentral:rRNA from 1 species
CGGACGGGUGAGUAAUGCAUAGGAAUCUGCCCAGUAGCGGGGGACAACUUGGGGAAACUCAAGCUAAUACCGCAUACGCCCUACGGGGGAAAGCGGGGGACCUUCGGGCCUCGCACUAUUGGAUGAGCCUAUGUCUGAUUAGCUUGUUGGUGGGGUAAUGGCCUACCAAGGCAACGAUCAGUAGCUGGUCUGAGAGGACGAUCAGCCACACUGGGACUGAGACACGGCCCAG